UACGGAGGGUGCGAGCGUUGUCCGGAAUCACUGGGCGUAAAGGGCGCGUAGGCGGUUCGUUAAGUUGCUGGUGAAAUCCCGGGGCUCAACUCCGGGGCUGCCAGUAAGACUGGCGGGCUAGAGCACGGUAGAGGCAGAUGGAAUUCCCGGUGUAGCGGUGGAAUGCGCAGAUAUCAGGAGGAACACCAAUAGCGAAGGCAGCUCGCUGGGACGGUACUGACGCUAAGGCGCGAAAGCGUGGGGAGCGAACAGG
rnacentral:rRNA from 1 species